GGUAGUAGCAAAUAUUCAAGUGAGAACCUUGAAGGCCGAGGUGGAGAAGGGUUCCAUGGGAACAGCAGUUGACCAUGGGUCAGGCGGUCCUAAGUGAUCCGGUAAAUCGGAACAGAGACGGGGUGCCUGACAUUGUCCGUUCGCGGGCUUUGUUCAGUAAUCUGCAAAGUACUGUUGCAUUGCAGCCCCCUGUAGCGAAAGGGAAUCGGGUUAAUAUUCCCGACCCUGUCCACGGAGAUUGGUGUGUGUCGGGCCUUUGGUUCGGCGUGCGCCCAGCGCGGUAACGCAACCGACCUCGGAGACGUCGGCGGGAGUUCUGGGAAGAGUUCUCUUUUCUUUGUUAGGAGUGCAUCCACCCCCUGGAAUCGGCUUGUCCGGAGAUAGGGGGCUAGCCUCCGUAAAGCACCACCCUUCCUGUGGUGUCCGGAACGCUCCUGUCGGCCCUUGAAAAUCCGAGCGAGGCAGUAUAAUUUUCGUGGCAGGCCGUACCCAUAUCCGCAGCAGGUCUCCAAGGUGAACAGCCUCUGGCA
rnacentral:ncRNA from 1 species